rnacentral:rRNA from 1 species
GACAGAGGGUGCGAACGUUGCUCGGAAUUACUGGGCGUAAAGCGCGUGUAGGCGGGGGAUCAAGUCAGGUGCGAAAUCCCCAGGCUCAACCUGGGAACUGCACUUGAAACUGGUCGCCUUGAGUGUUGGAGAGGGAAGCGGAAUUCCUGGUGUAGAGGUGAAAUUCGUAGAUAUCGGGAGGAACACCAGUGGCGAAGGCGGCGAUCUGGGAAGAUACUGACGCUGAGGUGCGAAAGCGUGGGGAGCAAACAGG